rnacentral:lncRNA from 1 species
CUUUUCAUUCCCGUUGUCAUGGAGGGCCACAUCUGCCAGAGCCUGGAGUCUGCGAAGGCCGGGACCCGGUUCCCCGGCCCGCCGUGGGGAGUGUGCAAACCCGAGAGAACUGGGUUGCAAAUUCGUGAAGAAUCAGCAGCAUGUUUGGCAGCUGAGUAUUGGAGCCAGGAGCCUGCCAUGAGGCAGAACCAGGUGGAACCGCAUGAGAAGCGACGGAGGCACCAGCCCUAGCCAGCUCCCUCAAGGCACCAAUCAGGCCUUGAGGCUUCCUCAACACCAGCUUUCCUUCCCCUCCCAUUGGGCCCUGCAUCCCUGCCUUCUGCAACAUUGUGCUCCUGACCCUGGCCGGCUCCCAGCCCUCCACAGCUGGGCCUCCACCUCAGAGCCUUUGCAUCAGGUAGCCCCAGAGUCAGAGAGAAGGCCCCUGACAAAGCCGCAGAUGGAGCUCAGCCCCAGGAAACACCUUUCCAGAGCAAGGCUCCAGCUCACUGUAGGAACACAGUCAAGUCUGUAUCCAGGCUGAGCGAUGGCUGAUGCAGCCUCAGUGUUCCUUUGCCUUGGGGGUUUCUGAGUGGUGGGGUUGUAAGGAGAGCCUGCCAGGCAUCCAGAAGGAAACCUCAUCAGGACUCCCUCAGAAAGGCCCUGAAGAAUCCUGUGACCUUCCUCUAAAGUAGGUCAUGAGACCCCCUGAGCUUAAAACGGAGUGAUCGGCUUUGGAGAAGUAAAGAAACAUGACGUGCCUGCCCUGGCGUGGGGCUAAACUUCGUGCCACUCCAUGUGAAACGGGGAGGCAUGACUCCACAGUUUCUGCAACAACAGAGCCGGGGAAAGGAGGACGC